UAAGGAAUAUUGGUCAAUGCCCGGAAGGGUGAACCAGCCAUCCCGCGUGAAGGAUGAAGGGGCUCUGCCUUGUAAACUUCUUUUGAAUGGGACGAAAAAGCCUCACUUGUGAGGAACUGACGGUACCAUUAGAAUAAGCACCGGCUAACUCCGUGCCAGCAGCCGCGGUAAUACGGAGGGUGCGAGCGUUAUCCGGAAUCACUGGGUUUAAAGGGUGCGUAGGCGGCUGUAUAAGUCAGUGGUGAAAGGCUGUGGCUUAACCAUGGGAUUGCCAUUGAUACUGUACGGCUUGAAUUAGGAUGAGGUUGGCGGAAUGUGACAUGUAGCGGUGAAAUGCUUAGAUAUGUCAUGGAACAUCGAUUGCGAAGGCAGCUGACUGGACCUUAAUUGACGCUGAGGCACGAAAGCGUGGGGAGCGAACAGGAUUAGAUACCCCAGUAGUCCCUGAGCGGGCUGGCAAGGCGCAU
rnacentral:rRNA from 1 species